CCUACGGGUGGCUGCAGUGGGGAAUAUUGGACAAUGGGGGGAACCCUGAUCCAGCCAUGCCGCGUGUGUGAAGAAGGCCCUCGGGUUGUAAAGCACUUUCAGUGAGGAAGAACGCCUGGUGGUUAAUACCCAUCAGGUAAGACAUCACUCACAGAAGAAGCACCGGCUAACUCCGUGCCAGCAGCCGCGGUAAUACGGAGGGUGCGAGCGUUAAUCGGAAUUACUGGGCGUAAAGCGCGCGUAGGUGGCUUGAUAAGCCGGUUGUGAAAGCCCCGGGCUCAACCUGGGAACGGCAUCCGGAACUGUCAAGCUAGAGUGCAGGAGAGGAAGGUAGAAUUCCAGGUGUAGCGGUGAAAUGCGUAGAGAUCGGGAGGAAUACCAGUGGCGAAGGCGGCCUUCUGGACUGACACUGACACUGAGGUGCGAAAGCGUGGGUAGCAAACAGGAUUAGAUACCCUGGUAGUC
rnacentral:rRNA from 1 species